GUCGUCCUAUUAGUUGUUGUUAUCUGCUGUAUGAUCAAACUCUACAACAUGGUAAAAAUCAUCCGACCAUCAGGGAAUGAAAGAGCUCGUGUGGAGUACGCCAGAGAGAAUCAGAGAGCCUUACCAGUAGAGAGGGAACCCACAGUUUCUUUUCCUCGAGUUGAGGAAAGCGCAAGACAACGUUUUACAUGUAACAAUACAACCUACGGCGGAUUACAAGCGAUACGACGACAGCCACAAAUGCAUGACGAACGUUUUAGGGGGCAACAGCUACAGUGUACCACUGAAGACGCCGUGGACUUGCCUGAGUAGGCUUACUAAGAUUUCCACAAAUUUUCCGCGUUCCUGUGGUGAACUGGCUUUCUCCAGGGAAAGUGAAUGACAUUGUGUCGAUGGACAACAGUGAUAUAUUUUUUUAAUAUGAAAAACGGCCUAUACUUUAUACUUAAUACUCAUGCAUAUACUUUACAAUUGAAACUGUGUUUAAAACGGCCGAUUUGAGAAAAAAAGUCUGUGUACAAAUAAAACUAGAUGGCCCUAAAAACAGUAACUAACUGCGUUGGUUUAUUUGUGUUUUCCUCUCGAGAUAAUGUAAUUUGUAUUGCUUGCGGUCAGACGCGCGACUUCACCCACAGGAUCGAAUUGAAUAAAACUAUGACACCAUACUUGUUCCUCCGGCACUUGAUCUUGGCUCUAUGCUUGAAAAUAAAGAACAAU